ncrna:unclassified sequences dfrA-dnaX RNA
AUGACUUAUGAUAAAGCUGUAAUUAUUUCAUCAUAAUUACAUUAAUUUAAUUAUUAAAAAGAGAUUAUGAUUUAAU